GGUCCCUUUGAAGCCAGCUAAAACUGGCCCUCAUCUAACAUGGAGCAGCUUCUGGACUCUUCUCAGAGGCCACCCCUGCAACCCCCAGCUACCAAAACCUUGCCACAUUAAACCAAUACAGCGAUCAAAGGCUGCCCUCACAAGCUCAGACAGGUUUUAGCUUGGGAUCUUUCUUUGUUAAUUUUGGUUUUCCCCUCUUUGGCUAUUGCUUAAGAGUAAAAUGCUCAUGAGCAGUUAGGCUGCCACACAGCUUGCGCUGCAUUUGGACAGAAAUUGUGUAACGUGCUUCUUGCUCUUGAUCUCCCACAUAUGUUUAGCAAUCACCUUGAUUUUAGUAUGACUUCAAGCAGUGAUUUGCCCGGGCAAAAGUUAAUUGUUAUGUUAUAGUUUCAGUUUGGGGAGGGGCAGGACUCUAUCACAUCGCUAGUGUUUUAUAAACCCAAAGUGAGUGCAGUAGCAACAACACUAUUGCUGCCAUUUUACAACUCCAACUUUCCCCGGGUUUUAAGCUAAAUUAUGACACUGUUCUGCAGUGAUGCUGUUUCUCCACACAUCAAAACUUCUUAGAUCAUCAAGUCCUCACAUGCCAAGAAGUUUUGCAUGGCCAUGUUUGACGUUGUAAUUAGGAAAACAGUGAAGGUUUCCAAAGUAGGAUGCAGCCUAGAGUCAGACGCCACAACAUGUGUCUUGGAUGAUUUCUACAGUGCCAGAGGAGCCUUCACCUCUCCUAAGACAAGGAGACUAAGCAAGUACAGAAGCUUCUUUAUUAACUCAGAGAAAAUAUGACAUAUCCCCAGGUGAUCCAGUGACUUCAUAGAAGAGUGAAUUUCCUGACUUGAGCAAGUAUCCCUCAGCUGUGGUUGGGAAAAAAAAAAAAAAAAUAAUAAUAAAAUUAGCCAGAAUACUGGCUUGGGUGCUGCUGGUGCUUGUAUUCUGUUCCUGCAUUAUAUAAAAUAAGAAUGUACAUGCUGCUUCUGAAAUUUUGUUUAUAAAAGCCUUAAUGCUGUAGCUGCUAUUCAAUACAGGUUCAUGUCUGAACUCUUCGCCCCCAAAGUUCUCAGAGAGUGUCAGUUGUGUCAGUUUCUCAUCACUUUCUGUCCAGGUUACAGUUUGAAGCAUGUCAUUGUGUUUUCCUGAGGAGCUGUGAUUCGGCCUAAGAACAUAGCUUUGUGUGAUUUAUGUGAAAAGCAUGUUAGUGGCUUACAGUAGAGAGGGUGAUGGUGGAGGAGGAGGAUGUUGCAUCAACUCUGAGUCUCACAGUAUAGGAAGCAGGAAACUUAGAAAAUGCUAAGAGACUUAGAAAAUGCCAAAGCCAAAGUCUAACUUUCUGCUAUUCAAAGUGGGAAAGUAAUCAUUUUGGGUCAGGUUGGUUUAACUGAGCUUAGACAGGAAACAGAAACCGAGUAUGAAGGAAAUUCUGAUUAAAACACCUAAUAAAAAUACAUUAUGAAUGAAAGUUGAAAUCUGCAGGUAACGUUUUCCAUCUGACACAUAGUUCAGUCCCUUCCCAUCUGCCUCCAGGAAAAUGUUCUUUUUCCUCAUUUUUUCUCUAGCUGUACAGCCUGCCUUUUCUUCCCAUACCAGACGCAGGUACUUCUGAGAGGCAGACUUUCCAAAGACCUUGUCUUCUACUCACAUGCUAAGGCACUGCCGAGUAACACUUGCACCUGAAAGGAUACAGAAAUAAGUAUGUGUAUGUG